AUUUGGGACAGAACACCUGUCAAACGGGAAUCCAGGUAUCCUAAGGUGAGUUCAGGGAGGACAGAAACCUUCAGUGGAAGAGAAGGACAAACAUUCCCUUGAUCCUUUCAGUACAAAUAUAGGCCAUGAAAGCAGGGCCUGGUGAUUCUUUAAAAGAAAAAAAAAAGGGCUCAGAAUUUUUAAGAG
rnacentral:ncRNA from 1 species